GCGUGCCUAACACAUGCAAGUCGAACGGACUGGCGCCUAGUGGGAGCUUGCUUGAGGUGAGGACAUGAGAAAUCGUGAGAAUCACCAAAGGCAAGUGGAAGCUAUUAGCUGGUCAGUGGCGUACGGGUGAGUAACACGUGGGUGACCUGCCCCGAAGUGGGGGAUAACUAUUCGAAAGGAUAGCUAAUACCGCAUGUACUUCGGCAUUCGCUUGUCGAAGCAAAGGAGCAAUCCGCUUUGGGAGGGGCCCUGCGGCCCAUCAGCUAGUUGGCAGGGUAAUGGCCUACCAAGGCAAUGACGGGUAGCUGGUCUGAGAGGACGAUCAGCCACACUGGCACUGAGACACGGGCCAGACUUCUACGGAAGUGCAGCAGUGAGGAAUAUUGCGCAAUGGGCGAAAGCCAGACGCAGCAACGCCGCGUGGGCGACGAAGGUCUUCGGAUCGUAGAGCCCUUUUCUAGGGGAAGAGGAAGGACUAGUACCCUAGGAACAAGUCUACGGCUAACUACGUGCCAGCAGCCGCGGUAAAACGUAGGAGGCAAGCGUUAUCCGGAUUCAUUGGGCGUAAAGCGCCGUGCAGGCGG
rnacentral:rRNA from 1 species